CCCGCUGAACUUAAGCAUAUCAAUAAGCGGAGGAAAAGAAACUAACAAGGAUUCCCCUAGUAACUGCGAGUGAAGCGGGAAGAGCUCAAAUUUAAAAUCUGGCGUGCCUCUGGUCGUCCGAGUUGUAGUCUGGAGAAGCGUUUUCCGUGUUGGACCGUGUAUAAGUCUCUUGGAACAGGGCGUCAUAGAGGGUGAGAAUCCCGUCUUUGACACGGACUACCAAUGCUUUGUGAUGCGCUCUCAAAGAGUCGAGUUGUUUGGGAAUGCAGCUCAAAAUGGGUGGUAAAUUCCAUCUAAAGCUAAAUAUAGGCGAGAGACCGAUAGCGAACAAGUACCGUGAGGGAAAGAUGAAAAGCACUUUGGAAAGAGAGUUAAACAGUACGUGAAAUUGCUGAAAGGGAAACGCUUGAAGUCAGUCAUGUCUGCCAGGACUCAGCCUUGCUUCUGCUUGGUGUACUUUCUGGUUUGAUGGGCCAACAUCAAUUUUGACCGUUGGAGAAAGGCUUUGGGAAUGUGGCACCCUCGGGUGUGUUAUAGCCCUCGAUUCGCAUACGGCGAUUGGGAUUGAGGAACUCAGCGCGCCUUUAUGGUCGGGGUAGCAACCCACGUAACGCGCUCAGGAUGCUGGCAUAAUGGCUUUAAGCGACCCGUCUUGAAACACGG
rnacentral:rRNA from 1 species